rnacentral:rRNA from 1 species
UACGUAGGGUGCGAGCGUUGUCCGGAAUUAUUGGGCGUAAAGGGCUCGUAGGCGGUCUGUUGCGUCAGGAGUGAAAACUCGGGGCUUAACCCCGAGCCUGCUUCUGAUACGGGCAGACUAGAGGUACGCAGGGGAGAACGGAAUUCCUGGUGUAGCGGUGAAAUGCGCAGAUAUCAGGAGGAACACCAAUGGCGAAGGCAGCUCGCUGGGACGGUACUGACGCUGAGACGCGAAAGCGUGGGGAGCGAACAGG